UACGAGAGGCCCAAACGUUAUUCGGAAUCACUGGGCUUAAAGAGUUCGUAGGCGGCGCGGAAAGUGGGGUGUGAAAGCCCUCGGCUCAACCGAGGAACUGCGCUCCAAACUGCCGUGCUCGAGGAGGAUAGAGGUAAGCGGAACUGAUGGUGGAGCGGUGAAAUGCGUUGAUAUCAUCAGGAACACCGGAGGCGAAGGCGGCUUACUGGGUCCUUUCUGACGCUGAGGAACGAAAGCUAGGGGAGCAAACGGG
rnacentral:rRNA from 1 species